AGUGAACGCUGGCGGUAGGCCUAACACAUGCAAGUCGCACGGCAGCACAGUAAGAGCUUGCUCUUACGGGUGGCGAGUGGCGGACGGGUGAGGAAUACAUCGGAAUCUACUUUUUCGUGGGGGAUAACGUAGGGAAACUUCCGCUAAUACCGCAUACGACCUACGGGUGAAAGCAGGGGAUCUUCGGACCUUGCGCGAUUGAAUGAGCCGAUGUCGGAUUAGCUAGUUGGCGGGGUAAAGGCCCACCAAGGCGACGAUCCGUAGCUGGUCUGAGAGGAUGAUCAGCCACACUGGAACUGAGACACGGUCCAGACUCCGACGGGAGGCAGCAGUGGGGAAUAUUGGACAAUGGGCGCAAGCCUGAUCCAGCCAUACCGCGUGGGUGAAGAAGGCCUUCGGGUUGUAAAGCCCUUUUGUUGGGAAAGAAAAGCAGCAGGUUAAUACCCCGCUGUUCUGACGGUACCCAAAGAAUAAGCACCGGCUAACUUCGUG
rnacentral:rRNA from 1 species